rnacentral:rRNA from 1 species
GACGAACGCUGGCGGCGUGCUUAACACAUGCAAGUCGAACGGAAAGGCCCUGCUUUUGUGGGGUGCUCGAGUGGCGAACGGGUGAGUAACACGUGAGUAACCUGCCCUUGACUUUGGGAUAACUUCAGGAAACUGGGGCUAAUACCGGAUAGGAGCUCCUGCUGCAUGGUGGGGGUUGGAAAGUUUCGGCGGUUGGGGAUGGACUCGCGGCUUAUCAGCUUGUUGGUGGGGUAGUGGCUUACCAAGGCUUUGACGGGUAGCCGGCCUGAGAGGGUGACCGGCCACAUGGGGACGGGGAUACGGCCCAGACUCCAAGGGGAGGAAGCAGUGGGGAAUAUUGCACAAGGGGCGGAGGCCGGAUGCAGCAACGCCGCGUGCGGGAGGACGGCCUUCGGGUUGUAAACGGCUUUCGCCUGUGACGAGGCGUGAGUGAGGGUAAUGGGUAAAGAAGCACCGGCUAACUACGG